GUUAUGGAAAGUGGGGACGUCGCGAGAGCGCCGGAGACUCCACUGCCGUAACAAUAAUGUGGGCAAAUUAAAAGCCACGAUUUAUCGGCGACAUCAAGAGCCGAUGUCUCGAUUUAAACAAAUAACUUAACCGAGAUGCAACAUCACUGAAAUCCCAUCGCCGAAGGUCCAGUGGGUGGGUUUAGGUUUCAUCCGAGCGAUGCCCAACUAUCCCGGAUGAACCUGUAAGUUAUUUUCUUUGUUUUACACUCGUGAGUUGCCUUGCCACGCUGUCAGCUGAACCACAUGCUAAUCAUUGCCAUUCCUUGUUGCAGAUGGGGUUUUUUGUUUUUUCCUUUAAGUUUUAACGUUUUAAAGUUUUAACGUUUUUGCAAGUUUUAAUCUAAGAAGAAGUUUAUGAUUGGAUCAGACUAUUUCAACAAAUUUUGUGAAUGAAGAUUGCUACUGUUUUCUUCUGCGUUUGCAAGUUAUUUCAAGCUUCAUUUCGGCGGAGCUUGCCUUGGUUGUUUGCACGUCGAAGCUUUCCUUUGUGCGGCGCGCAUGUGGAUGUGCCGCGCCCCUCCUUUUGUCAACACACCGGAUAAGGCCUGGUGAAGGUCUGCGAGGUUGACCGGUGGACGUGCAGCCCGCCAGCUGCGUAACAGUUGGCCCGCUGCGCCGCCAUCGUCCAGCACGCCCUGGCCUGAGCCGGCCUCAACUCAUCACCUGUACGGUAUUCCGGAACGCCUCAGGUAGGCCUGAUAGUCGGAGGUCCUCGAGUAAGUGAGGAUCCUACAGGUGUACGGACAGUGUUUUUAAACAUAGUGAUAUCCCAUGGUUGUUACGGAGUGACAAUUAACCUGACGGACCAAAGCGCGACCUGUCUCCCUCCAUAGGGUUUUUACCUACCUAUGGAUAAUAAAAUCUGUAUAUUUUAAAAUAUACAUUGUACAAAUUCAA